rnacentral:rRNA from 1 species
UGGGGAAUAUUGCACAAUGGGGGAAACCCUGAUGCAGCGACGCCGCGUGGAGGAAGAAGGUCUUCGGAUUGUAAACUCCUGUUGUUGAGGAAGAUAAUGACGGUACUCAACAAGGAAGUGACGGCUAACUACGUGCCAGCAGCCGCGGUAAAACGUAGGUCACAAGCGUUGUCCGGAAUUACUGGGUGUAAAGGGAGCGCAGGCGGGAAGACAAGUUGGAAGUGAAAUCCAUGGGCUCAACCCAUGAACUGCUUUCAAAACUGUUUUUCUUGAGUAGUGCAGAGGUAGGCGGAAUUCCCGGUGUAGCGGUGGAAUGCGUAGAUAUCGGGAGGAACACCAGUGGCGAAGGCGGCCUACUGGGCACCAACUGACGCUGAGGCUCGAAAGUGUGGGUAGCAAACAGGAUUAGAUACCCUGGUAGUCCACACUGUAAACGAUGAUUACUAGGUGUUGGGGGAUUGACCCCCUCAGUGCCGCAGUUAACACAAUAAGUAAUCCACCUGGGGAGUACGACCGCAAGGUUGAAACUCAAAGGAAUUGACGGGGGCCCGCACAAGCAGUGGAGUAUGUGGUUUAAUUCGAAGCAACGCGAAGAACCUUACCAGGUCUUGACAUCCGAUGCAUAGCACAGAGAUGUGUGAAAUCCUUCGGGACAUCGAGACAGGUGGUGCAUGGUUGUCGUCAGCUCGUGUCGUGAGAUGUUGGGUUAAGUCCCGCAACGAGCGCAACCCUUAUUGCCAGUUACUACGUUAAGAGGACUCUGGCGAGACUGCCGUUGACAAAACGGAGGAAGGUGGGGAUGACGUCAAAUCAUCAUGCCCUUUAUGACCUGGGCUACACACGUACUACAAUGGCGUUAAACAAAGAGAAGCAAGACCGCGAGGUGGAGCAAAACUCAGAAACAACGUCCCAGUUCGGACUGCAGGCUGCAACUCGCCUGCACGAAGUCGGAAUUGCUAGUAAUCGUGGAUCAGCAUGCCACGGUGAAUACGUUCCC